rnacentral:miRNA from 1 species
AGUGACUUCCCGGCAGCAAAUG